CCUACGGGGAGCAGCAGUGAGGAAUAUUGGUCAAUGGCCGGAAGGCUGAACCAGCCAUGCCGCGUGAAGGUCAGUGCCCUAUGGGCGUUAAACUUCUUUUGUGCGGGAGCAAUAAUGGUCACGUGUGGCCAGACGAGAGUACCGUACGAAUAAGCAUCGGCUAACUCCGUGCCAGCAGCCGCGGUAAUACGGGGGAUGCAAGCGUUAUCCGGAUUUAUUGGGUUUAAAGGGUGCGUAGGCUGUGAGGUAAGUCAGCGGUGAAAUGCCCCCGCUCAACGGGGUGAAGUGCCAUUGAUACUGCCUGGCUGGAAUGCGGAUGCCGUGGGAGGAAUGUGUGGUGUAGCGGUGAAAUGCAUAGAUAUCACACAGAACACCGAUUGCGAAGGCAUCUCACGAAUCCGCGAUUGACGCUGAUGCACGAAAGCGUGGGUAUCAAACAGGAUUAGAUACCCUUGUAGUC
rnacentral:rRNA from 1 species